ensembl:lncRNA
GCUGUGGCCUGUUUGACUCUAAAUGGAGCCUAAUUUACUCAAUGAACAUCACGCUGUAUUGAAGAAGACGCGAAACUAGAGACCAUGAACUCAUGUUUACAAUGUUUACUGAGGGAAUAAAUCAAGAGAGAAGUCAUUUCCUCAUAGACGUCUAUGGGAGCAGAGGAGUCGCCCCCUGCUGGUCACUACAGAGAAGUAGAGUCAUUUCCUCAUAGACGUCUAUGGGAGCAGAGGAGUCGCCCCCUGCUGGUCACUACAGAGAAGUAGAGUCAUUUCCUCAUAGACGUCUAUGGGAGCAGAGGAGUCGCCCCCUGCUGGUCACUACAGAGAAGUAGAGUCAUUUCCUCAUAGACGUCUAUGGGAGCAGAGGAGUCGCCCCCUGCUGGUCACUACAGAGAAGUAGAGUCAUUUCCUCAUAGACGUCUAUGGGAGCAGAGGACUUUUUUCUUUUUCUCACGG